GACGAACGCUGGCGGCGUGCUUAACACAUGCAAGUCGAACGGAAAGGCCCUGCUUUUGUGGGGUGCUCGAGUGGCGAACGGGUGAGUAACACGUGAGUAACCUGCCCUUGACUUUGGGAUAACUUCAGGAAACUGGGGCUAAUACCGGAUAGGAGCUCCUGCUGCAUGGUGGGGGUUGGAAAGUUUCGGCGGUUGGGGAUGGACUCGCGGCUUAUCAGCUUGUUGGUGGGGUAGUGGCUUACCAAGGCUUUGACGGGUAGCCGGCCUGAGAGGGUGACCGGCCACAUUGGGACUACGAUACGGACCAGACUCCUACGGGAGGCAGCAGUGGGGAAUAUUGCACAGUGGGCGGAAGCCUGAUGCAGAAACGCCGCGUGCGGGAUGACGGCCUUCGGGUUGUAAACCGCUUUCGCCUGUGACGAAGCGUGAGUGACGGUAAUGGGUAAAGAAGCACCGGCUAACUACGUG
rnacentral:rRNA from 1 species